rnacentral:rRNA from 1 species
AAGAGAUGGCAACCGGCGCACGGGUGAGUAACACGUAUCCAACCUGCCGAUAACUCCGGAAUAGCCUUUCGAAAGAAAGAUUAAUACCGGAUGGCAUACGAAUAUCGCAUGAUAUUUUUAUUAAAGAAUUUCGGUUAUCGAUGGGGAUGCGUUCCAUUAGUUUGUUGGCGGGGUAACGGCCCACCAAGACUACGAUGGAUAGGGGUUCUGAGAGGAAGGUCCCCCACAUUGGAACUGAGACACGGUCCAA